rnacentral:rRNA from 1 species
GACGAACGCUGGCGGCGUGCUUAACACAUGCAAGUCGAACGGAAAGGCCCUGCUUUUGGGGGGUGCUCGAGUGGGGAACGGGUGAGGAACACGUGAGUAACCUGCCCUUGACAUUGGGAUAACUUCAGGAAACUGGGGGUAAUACCGGAAAGGAGCUCCUGCUGCAUGGUGGGGGCUGGAAAGUUUCGGCGGUUGGGGAUGGACUCGCGGCUUAUCAGCUUGUUGGUGGGGUAGUGGCUUACCAAGGCUUUGACGGGUAGCCGGCCGGAGAGGGUGACCGGCCACAUUGGGACUGAGAUACGGCCCAGACUCCUACGGGAGGCAGCAGUGGGGAAUAUUGCACAAUGGGCGGAAGCCUGAUGCAGCAACGCCGCGUGCGGGAUGACGGCCUUCGGGUUGUAAACCGCUUUCGCCUGUGACGAAGCGUGAGUGACGGUAAUGGGUAAAGAAGCACCGGCUAACUACGUG